UACGAAGGGGGCUAGCGUUGCUCGGAAUCACUGGGCGUAAAGCGCACGUAGGCGGAUUGUUAAGUCAGGGGUGAAAUCCUGGAGCUCAACUCCAGAACUGCCUUUGAUACUGACGAUCUCGAGUCCGGGAGAGGUGAGUGGAACUGCGAGUGUAGAGGUGAAAUUCGUAGAUAUUCGCAAGAACACCAGUGGCGAAGGCGGGUCUCUGGGCCGUAACUGACGCUGAGGAGCGAAAGCGUGGGGAGCGAACAGG
rnacentral:rRNA from 1 species